GAGAGAUGAUGACGAGGCUCUACGGAGCUGAAGUAACCGAUACCACACUUCCAGGAAAAGCCACUAAGCUUCAGGUUUAUCUAAACCGUACUGAAAACCGACACAGGUGGUCAGGUAGAGAAUACUCAGGCGCUUGAGAGAACUCGGGUGAAGGAACUAGGCAAAAUAGCACCGUAACUUCGGGAGAAGGUGCGCCGGCGUAGAUUGUAGUCCCUUGCGGAUGAAGGUUGAACCGGUCGAAGAUACCAGCUGGCUGCAACUGUUUAUUAAAAACACAGCACUCUGCAAACACGAAAGUGGACGUAUAGGGUGUGAUGCCUGCCCGGUGCUGGAAGGUUAAUUGAUGGUGUAAUCGAAAGAGAAGCUCCUGAUCGAAGCCCCAGUAAACGGCGGCCGUAACUAUAACGGUCCUAAGGUAGCGAAAUUCCUUGUCGGGUAAGUUCCGACCUGCACGAAUGGCAUAAUGAUGGCCAGGCUGUCUCCACCCGAGACUCAGUGAAAUUGAAAUCGCCGUGAAGAUGCGGUGUACCCGCGGCUAGACGGAAAGACCCCGUGAACCUUUACUAUAGCUUGACACUGAACAUUGAAUUUUGAUGUGUAGGAUAGGUGGGAG
rnacentral:rRNA from 2 species